GGAAUCUUAGACAAUGGGCGCAAGCCUGAUCUAGCCAUGCCGCGUGAGUGAUGAAGGCCUUAGGGUCGUAAAGCUCUUUCGCCAGAGAUGAUAAUGACAGUAUCUGGUAAAGAAACCCCGGCUAACUCCGUGCCAGCAGCCGCGGUAAUACGGAGGGGGUUAGCGUUGUUCGGAAUUACUGGGCGUAAAGCGCACGUAGGCGGAUCAGAAAGUUGGGGGUGAAAUCCCAGGGCUCAACCCUGGAACUGCCUCCAAAACUCCUGGUCUUGAGUUCGAGAGAGGUGAGUGGAAUUCCUAGUGUAGAGGUGAAAUUCGUAGAUAUUAGGAAGAACACCGGUGGCGAAGGCGGCCCACUGGAUCGGUACUGACGCUGAGGUACGAAAGCGUGGGGAGCAA
rnacentral:rRNA from 1 species